UUCUUAACUGACUUGCCUUGUUAAAUAAAGGUCAAAUAAAAUAAAGAAAACAGCUAAAUCAAGAUGACUUACUUUUCUAGUGUUUGAAAAUACAUACAGGCUUUCUUCAGAACAAGGAGAUCGUUCAAGACUGACGCCGAAAUUGGACAUGUGUCCAAGUCCUGAAGACGUCGGGAAAUAUCUUCAAAACCAGUCACUAGAGGUGUGGGCAGAGGAGUGUGUUCCGUCUUCGCUUCCUACAUGCUCCACAACUCCCUGGCCUAUAGGGCCGACUGGUCAUGCCUGUUCCUGGAUGAGCCUCCCCCUGGAGACCACAGAGCAAGACAGUUCCAUACAGGAAGACACCUAAGGAUUCAGUAUGAAUCUCCCACUGCCAACUUCAAUAAGAUGACGCAGGACAUCGUGUUUACGUACCUGAGAGCUUAUUCCCACCACCUGCUAACUCUGUUCUCUGUGGCAUGCCCACUUCCCUGUCCCAACCCUUCUAAGAUCACAUGCUGCAUGUGUGGCACUGUGACUGGACCCACAGGUCACUUGCACUGUGAAAGCCCAGGAGGGAGAGGAACAACAGGAGAGGGAGAUGGUUGCCAGGCAGGAGCACCAGCAAAGUAGAAGUUGAGACUUGUUUAGUCUCAUUGGUCAAACCCAUGAAAUCAUGAGGCAGACAGAAGAAUGCAAAUAUUUCACCUGUGAGGAACGUACCUGCAUCGCCUAUUUGAAUGUUCAAACAAAACAACCAGCACCAGUUUCAAUUAUCAUUUUUUCAUUAUAAAUAUCAAAUCUUGAAGAUAGAGCACUUACAGUAAAAAGCAAAAACUGUGAU